rnacentral:rRNA from 1 species
CGAACGCUGGCGGCAUGCCUAACACAUGCAAGUCGAACGAGACCUUCGGGUCUAGUGGCGCACGGGUGCGUAACGCGUGGGAACCUGCCCUUAGGUUCGGAAUAACUCCCCGAAAGGGGUGCUAAUACCGGAUAAUGUCUUCGGACCAAAGAUUUAUCGCCUUUGGAUGGGCCCGCGUUGGAUUAGCUAGUUGGUAGGGUAAAAGCCUACCAAGGCGACGAUCCAUAGCUGGUUUGAGAGGAUGAUCAGCCACACUGGGACUGAGACACGGCCCAGACUCCUACGGGAGGCAGCAGUGGGGAAUAUUGGACAAUGGGCGAAAGCCUGAUCCAGCAAUGCCGCGUGAGUGAUGAAGGCCUUAGGGUUGUAAAGCUCUUUUACCCGGGAUGAUAAUGACAGUACCGGGAGAAUAAGCUCCGGCUAACUCCGUG